GUCUUUUUGAUAAUAAUUUAAAGUCUGGCCUGCCCAAUGAUAAUUUAAAUGGCCGCGGUAUUUUGACCGUGCAAAGGUAGCAUAAUCAUUAGUUUUUUAAUUGAAAGCUUGUAUGAAAGGUUGAACGAGAAAAUUACUGUCUCAAUUUUAUUUAAUAAGAAUUUUAUUUUUAAGUUAAAAAGCUUAAAUAAUUUUAAAAGACGAGAAGACCCUAUAGAGUUUUAUAUUUUUAAUAAUAGAUUUUUAAAUUAUUUAUUUAAUUAUUUAGAAUAUUUUAUUGGGGUGAUAAAUAAAUUUAAUAAACUUUAUUUUUUUUAAAACAUUUAUUUAUGUUAAUAAUGAUCCAAAUUUUUUGAUUAUAAGAUUAAAUUACCUUAGGGAUAACAGCGUAAUUUUUUUUGAGAGUUCAUAUCGAAAAGAAAGAUUGCGACCUCGAUGUUGGAUUAAAAUUUAUUUUUGGUGUAGAAGCUAAAAAAUUAAGUCUGUUCGACUUUUAAAAUUUUACAUGAUCUGAGUUUAAACCGGUGUGAGCCAGGUUGGUUUCUAUCUUUAAAUAAUAGAAAAUAUUUUAGUACGAAAGGACCAAAUAUUUAUAAAAUUUAUUUUGUUAUUGAAUAUUAUUGUUAUUUUGGCAGAUUAGUGCAUUAAAUUUAGAAUUUAAUUAUGUAAUUUAUUACAAAUAAUACUUGUUUUAUAAGGAUUUAAUUUUAAUAUUUAUUAGAAGUUUAUUAUUAGUAAUUUGUAUCUUAAUU
rnacentral:rRNA from 1 species